rnacentral:rRNA from 1 species
UUAAGCGACUAAGCGUACACGGUGGAUGCCCUGGCAGUCAGAGGCGAUGAAGGACGUGCUAAUCUGCGAUAAGCGUCGGUAAGGUGAUAUGAACCGUUAUAACCGGCGAUUUCCGAAUGGGGAAACCCAGUGUGUUUCGACACACUAUCAUUAACUGAAUCCAUAGGUUAAUGAGGCGAACCGGGGGAACUGAAACAUCUAAGUACCCCGAGGAAAAGAAAUCAACCGAGAUUCCCCCAGUAGCGGCGAGCGAACGGGGAGCAGCCCAGAGCCUGAAUCAGUGUGUGUGUUAGUGGAAGCGUCUGGAAAGGCGCGCGAUACAGGGUGACAGCCCCGUACACAAAAAUGCACAUGCUGUGAGCUCGAUGAGUAGGGCGGGACACGUGGUAUCCUGUCUGAAUAUGGGGGGACCAUCCUCCAAGGCUAAAUACUCCUGACUGACCGAUAGUGAACCAGUACCGUGAGGGAAAGGCGAAAAGAACCCCGGCGAGGGGAGUGAAAAAGAACCUGAAACCGUGUACGUACAAGCAGUGGGAGCACGCUUAGGCGUGUGACUGCGUACCUUUUGUAUAAUGGGUCAGCGACUUAUAUUCUGUAGCAAGGUUAACCGAAUAGGGGAGCCGAAGGGAAACCGAGUCUUAACUGGGCGUUAAGUUGCAGGGUAUAGACCCGAAACCCGGUGAUCUAGCCAUGGGCAGGUUGAAGGUUGGGUAACACUAACUGGAGGACCGAACCGACUAAUGUUGAAAAAUUAGCGGAUGACUUGUGGCUGGGGGUGAAAGGCCAAUCAAACCGGGAGAUAGCUGGUUCUCCCCGAAAGCUAUUUAGGUAGCGCCUCGUGAAUUCAUCUCCGGGGGUAGAGCACUGUUUCGGCAAGGGGGUCAUCCCGACUUACCAACCCGAUGCAAACUGCGAAUACCGGAGAAUGUUAUCACGGGAGACACACGGCGGGUGCUAACGUCCGUCGUGAAGAGGGAAACAACCCAGACCGCCAGCUAAGGUCCCAAAGUCAUGGUUAAGUGGGAAACGAUGUGGGAAGGCCCAGACAGCCAGGAUGUUGGCUUAGAAGCAGCCAUCAUUUAAAGAAAGCGUAAUAGCUCACUGGUCGAGUCGGCCUGCGCGGAAGAUGUAACGGGGCUAAACCAUGCACCGAAGCUGCGGCAGCGACNGAAGGUGUGCUGUGAGGCAUGCUGGAGGUAUCAGAAGUGCGAAUGCUGACAUAAGUAACGAUAAAGCGGGUGAAAAGCCCGCUCGCCGGAAGACCAAGGGUUCCUGUCCAACGUUAAUCGGGGCAGGGUGAGUCGACCCCUAAGGCGAGGCCGAAAGGCGUAGUCGAUGGGAAACAGGUUAAUAUUCCUGUACUUGGUGUUACUGCGAAGGGGGGACGGAGAAGGCUAUGUUGGCCGGGCGACGGUUGUCCCGGUUUAAGCGUGUAGGCUGGUUUUCCAGGCAAAUCCGGAAAAUCAAGGCUGAGGCGUGAUGACGAGGCACUACGGUGCUGAAGCAACAAAUGCCCUGCUUCCAGGAAAAGCCUCUAAGCAUCAGGUAACAUCAAAUCGUACCCCAAACCGACACAGGUGGUCAGGUAGAGAAUACCAAGGCGCUUGAGAGAACUCGGGUGAAGGAACUAGGCAAAAUGGUGCCGUAACUUCGGGAGAAGGCACGCUGAUAUGUAGGUGAAGCGACUUGCUCGUGGAGCUGAAAUCAGUCGAAGAUACCAGCUGGCUGCAACUGUUUAUUAAAAACACAGCACUGUGCAAACACGAAAGUGGACGUAUACGGUGUGACGCCUGCCCGGUGCCGGAAGGUUAAUUGAUGGGGUNNNNNNNNNNNNNNNAGCGCAAGCGAAGCUCUUGAUCGAAGCCCCGGUAAACGGCGGCCGUAACUAUAACGGUCCUAAGGUAGCGAAAUUCCUUGUCGGGUAAGUUCCGACCUGCACGAAUGGCGUAAUGAUGGCCAGGCUGUCUCCACCCGAGACUCAGUGAAAUUGAACUCGCUGUGAAGAUGCAGUGUACCCGCGGCAAGACGGAAAGACCCCGUGAACCUUUACUAUAGCUUGACACUGAACAUUGAGCCUUGAUGUGUAGGAUAGGUGGGAGGCUUUGAAGUGUGGACGCCAGUCUGCAUGGAGCCGACCUUGAAAUACCACCCUUUAAUGUUUGAUGUUCUAACGUUGACCCGUAAUCCGGGUUGCGGACAGUGUCUGGUGGGUAGUUUGACUGGGGCGGUCUCCUCCUAAAGAGUAACGGAGGAGCACGAAGGUUGGCUAAUCCUGGUCGGACAUCAGGAGGUUAGUGCAAUGGCAUAAGCCAGCUUGACUGCGAGCGUGACGGCGCGAGCAGGUGCGAAAGCAGGUCAUAGUGAUCCGGUGGUUCUGAAUGGAAGGGCCAUCGCUCAACGGAUAAAAGGUACUCCGGGGAUAACAGGCUGAUACCGCCCAAGAGUUCAUAUCGACGGCGGUGUUUGGCACCUCGAUGUCGGCUCAUCACAUCCUGGGGCUGAAGUAGGUCCCAAGGGUAUGGCUGUUCGCCAUUUAAAGUGGUACGCGAGCUGGGUUUAGAACGUCGUGAGACAGUUCGGUCCCUAUCUGCCGUGGGCGCUGGAGAACUGAGGGGGGCUGCUCCUAGUACGAGAGGACCGGAGUGGACGCAUCACUGGUGUUCGGGUUGUCAUGCCAAUGGCACUGCCCGGUAGCUAAAUGCGGAAGAGAUAAGUGCUGAAAGCAUCUAAGCACGAAACUUGCCCCGAGAUGAGUUCUCCCUGAC